rnacentral:rRNA from 1 species
AUGAGUUGUUUCCAGCUCACGAAGAAAAUAUACCGGAACCUGACAUCAAUUUCUUCUAAAUUCUGGUGGGCUGCAACGCGUGGUGAACGCAAGGUACAUUGGAUUUCAUGGCAGAAAAUGUGUGCUUCGAAGAGGGAUGGAGGAAUGGGUUUCCGUGAUCCGGAGGCCUUCAAUCAAGCGUUGCUAGCAAAGCAAGCAUGAAGAAUCCUUCAGCAACCUAACUCCCUGUGUGCCCGUGUGCUCAAGGCACGUUACUUCAGCGCAGACUCGAUAACGACAGCUACAGCACCGGCGUCGGCCUCGUACACUUUUAGAAGCAUUCUUUGGGGAAGGGACCUGCUUCGGGAGGGCCUCGUUUGGCGGAUUCGUAAUGGAUGCGAUGUGUUAGACUGUAUUUACAUGUGUAUAUUGUAA